AUGAGCACCAGAGAGAUAGAUGGGGAGAACGGAGGAAGAGAAGGCCGGAUUGAAAAGGAGGCGGAGCUUGUCACGGGAGAUAGUCACGAGGCGUUGGGGAUGGAGAUGCUGGCGGCGGCAAGUGCGUGGAGAAGCUUCAGACGUCCAUGGCUUUGGUCCCCUGUAGAGAAUAAGGAGAAAAGAGAGAGUUUGAGAAUGGGAGAAAGAGAGAUCAAGAGGCGAGAAGAGAGAAGAGAGGUAGGGUGCGGUGAUGGCCUGGUAGUGCCUGCUCCAGCAAGCUCAGCCGCAGGGGCGGUGGGUUCCGCCAGUCGCUGGUGUUGGCGUCCUCUGGUGGCUGGUCCUGGUGGUGGUGGACGGCGGGGACGACACGAGGUGGGAGGUGGCAGGGAGCUCCUCUCCCUGGCUCAUGAUGAGGGGAGGGAGAGUCCUACGACUGUGGUUGGAUAUGGAGAGAUGGGUUGGAUCGAGCAGGUGGCGAGGCUUGGAGGCAUUGCGCUCGAUCCACUCGGGAUCGAGAUGCUCGGGCAGCUGCCCAAAAAACCAGGGAUGUGGUCAGAGAGGAUUUGGAUCAAAGAGAAGGUGGUUGGCUGGUGA
rnacentral:rRNA from 1 species